GACGAACGCUGGCGGCGUGGAUUAGGCAUGCAAGUCGAACGGUAUCAUCCUUUCGGGGGUGAGAGAGUGGCGAACUGGUGAGUAACACGUAGGUUAUCUACCCUCAAGACGGGGACAACCCAGGGAAACUUGGGCUAAUACCGGAUGUGAGCAACUUUUAGUUGUUUGAAAGGUGGCGUAAGCUGUCGCUUGGGGAUGAGCCUGCGUCCUAUUAGUUAGUUGGUGAGGUAACGGCUCACCUAGGCAAUGAUAGGUAGGCGGCCUUAACGGGUGGUCGCCCACACUGGGAUUGAGAUACGGCCCAGACUCCUACGGGAGGCAGCAGUCGAGAAUAGUCUACAAUGGUCGGAAGACUGAUAGUGCGACGCCGCGUGAACGAUGAAUCCCUUCGGGGUGUAAAGUUCUUUUAUAUGUGAGCAGUGCUUCUUAUAUUAACAGUAUGGGGAGUAGAGAUAUUAGCAUAUGAAUAAGCAACGGCUAACUCCGUGCCAGCAGCCGGGUAAA
rnacentral:rRNA from 1 species